GACAGAGGUGCCGAGCGUUAGGCGGAAUCACUGGGCUUAAAGCGUGUGUAGGCGGGCCGUUAAGUGCCUUGUGAAAUCCCCCGGCUCAACCGGGGAACGGCUGGGCAUACUGGCGGCCUUGAGUCACUCAGGGGUCAGCGGAACAAACGGUGGAGCGGUGAAAUGCGUAGAUAUCGCUUGGAACGCCGAAGGUGAAAACAGGCUGCUGGGGUUGUGCCGACGCUGAGACACGAAAGCCAGGGGAGCAAACGGG
rnacentral:rRNA from 1 species